rnacentral:rRNA from 1 species
UACGUAGGUGGCAAGCGUUGUCCGGAAUUAUUGGGCGUAAAGCGCGCGCAGGUGGUUUCUUAAGUCUGAUGUGAAAGCCCACGGCUCAACCGUGGAGGGUCAUUGGAAACUGGGGAACUUGAGUGCAGAAGAGGAAAGUGGAAUUCCAAGUGUAGCGGUGAAAUGCGUAGAGAUUUGGAGGAACACCAGUGGCGAAGGCGACUUUCUGGUCUGUAACUGACACUGAGGCGCGAAAGCGUGGGAGCGAACGAGGAUUG